rnacentral:lncRNA from 1 species
AUGUCUCUGGGUCAGAAGAGUGAGUGCUGCAAGCUUGAGGAAGACCUUCAGGCUCCAAAAGAGGCACAGGGCCUAGAAUGUGUGCAGGCCUCCAUGGCUCAGAAGGAAGAGGCCACCUCCUGCCCCAAAUCCACCAUCUCCUCUUCCCUCACCCUGUUGAUCCCUGGAACCACAGAGGAGGUGCCUGCCACUGGGGCACUGAUUGUUGUCCAAAAUUCUCAGGGAGCCUGCUCCUCACCCACUGCCACCUCAGCCACUCCACUGAGUCAAUCUGAUGAGAAUUCCAGUAGCCAAGAGGAGAAGGAGCCCAGCAACUGCAAGACUCCACCAGAUCCUGAGUCCUCGCUCGGUGGUGAGCUAAACAACAAGGUGGCUGAACUGGUACAGUUUCUGUGUAUCAAAUAUGUAACAAAGGAACCCACCACAAAAGCAGAAAUGCUGAGGAGUGUCAUCAGAGAACACAAGGACAACUUCCCUGAGAUCUUCAGCAAAGUCUGUAAGUGCAUGGAGGUCGUCUUUGGCAUUGAAGUAAAAGAAGUGGACCCCAUGGGACACUCUUAUGAGCUUGUCAAAACACUCAACCUCACCUACGAUGGGAUGCUGAUUAAUGAUGGGGGAAUGCCCAAGACCGGCUUCCUGAUACUUAUCCUGGGUAUGAUCUUCAUGGAGGGCAACUGUGCCCCUGAAGAGAAUAUUUGGAAAGCAUUGAAUAUGAUGGGGGUAUAUGCUGGGCAGGAGGAUUUUAUCUAUGGGGAGCCCAGGAAACUCAUCACCAAAGAUUUGGUGGAGGAACAAUAUCUACAGUAUCGGCAGGUGCCUCACAGUGAUCCUCCACGCUAUGAAUUCCUAUGGGGUCCAAGGGCCUAUGCUGAAACCAGCAAGAUGAAAGUCCUGGAGUUUUUUGCCAAGAUCAGUGGGGCUGACCCCACUUCCUUAUUUUGGUAUGAGGAAGCUUUGAGAGAUGAGAGAGCCCAGGCCAGAACUGUCCCCUGGGAUGAUACUACUACCAUGGCCAGUGAAAAUUCCAGUGCCAUGUCCAGCAACCUCUUCUGCCCUGAGUGA